UUUGUGCAACAGAGUGAAGGGCUGAGGCCCCAUGGUUUCCAGGCAGCCUGUGCCAGUGAGAGAAAUGCAGAAUAGAGUUUGAUUUGAACUCUGGCUCUGUCAACGACUUGGUACUAUGGCCUUGUGCAACCAAGUUAAUGUCUCCAAGCCUUACUUUUAUCCUUUGUAAAAUGGGACGAUGAUACCCCUCUCUUGCAUGUGUGAAAUAACUAACACAUAGUCUGUGCUUCAGAAGUGAAGUCACUGCUACUCAGAGAACACAGAAGAAGAAGCAGUUUACAGAGAAAGAUGAGUUUCAUUUUAGAAGCACUGCGCUUGAGGUGACUGGGACAGCCACGUGGAGGUGUCCGGUAAGGCAUUAGAUAUAUAGGUGUGGAACUCAGGAGAAAGAUCUGGGCUGGAGAGAGUUCUAGGGGCCACUGACUUUUUGAAAUUAGGCCAAGGCAAGGAGGUAUAUAAGAACAACCAGAGAGAGGUGGAGAGGGAGAGAAAUGCAGACCCUAACGGACGGCCUUGGGAGCGUCACCAUUCGACAGCUGAGGAAAGGAAGGAGAGCCGGCAAGGGAGAUGUUCUGGAGCCUGCAGGGCUGUGCGGUCAGAAGGAGGUGCAAACCAGAGUCUGAAGACGCAGGUUUGAGUUUCAGCUCCCUUGCUGACUAGCUGUGUGAUCCUCGCAAUUCAGGAUAGCACAUGUGGCUUUCCUGCAAUGGGAUCGUCCUUCAAGAGGACCUCACAGGCUCUCCACCCGGACAGUGAUGCAGAAGCAGAUCGGCUCACGCUAAUGGGCAGUGUACCAGGAGCUUUGUGCCUAGGGACAACUUUCACCUUCAAAAUGCCCUGCGGGCUGCCUCAGCUUCUUCUCCACCAGCCCCUGGGCUCCCAGCUCUCUCAGGAGGCAGUGUUUUGCUGGAGAAAGAAUCUCAGUCAUCUGGACUGCUUUGUGCGAUAUGAAAAUCUCUGAGAACCUUCAAGAGCCCAAGAAACAGUUCUCCUUCAAGCUGUAUGCCAUGGUCAGCGGUUAAAGAGAACAUUCUGUUCCACUCCUCCAGCUCUGCCUUAGAAACCCAAGCCCUGCACUCCUAGGCUCCUGGCAUCAUACACUAGCACCAGCAAUUUUUUGCCAAAAGCAUCAGCCAAAAUCUAUUCUAUUUCAGUUCCUCUCUUUUCGUCGGAUUGUAUUUUUACAGGUGAUUGCUGAUUCUCACACUGCUCUUCAGAUUCAUGUACAGCUGUGGUCUGAACGUGUGUGUUUUCUCAAAAUUCAAGUUUAAAACUUAAUCCUCAAUGUGAUAGUAUCAACAGCUGUGGCCUUUUGGAAAGUGAAGGUGGAGCCCUUGUGAGUGGGAUUAGAGCUCUUAUAAAAGAGAUUGAAGAGAGCUACCUAGCCCUUCCAUCUCUUCUGCCUUGUGAGGACACAGUGUUCAUCCCUUUUGUCUUCCCACCAUUUGAAGAUACAGAAAGAAGGUGCCAUCUUGGAAGCAAAGAGCAGCCCUCACCAGACACCAAGUCUGCUGGCACCUUGAUCCUGGACUGCCCAGCCUCCAGGACUGUGAGAAAUGAAUUUCUGUUGUUUAUAAAUUACCUAGUCUAAGGUAUGCUGUUAUAGUAGCAGGAAUGGACUAAGACACACAUUGUCAAAAUCUUCAUAAGUUAAAGGUGAAGGUACAAUCAGAACUGGUGCAUGGAAUUGGAACCAUAGGUCUUAGUAAACACUGUAAAAAUGCACUAUUCAAAUCUAUAGAAAAUGCUCUCUCUCCAAGUUCAGAAAGAAGUUACAAUCUGCUUUUCCUUUUUUUCUGAAGGGAAGUAAAAUUCCAUGUUUCUGGACUAAGAGAUCUACACCCCAGUCUUUCUCUUUCUGAUAUUUAUAGUAACCUUUGGCAAAUUACUCAAGCUUUCUUUGUUCUAGUGAAAAGAAAGUGCACAGGACAGUAUUACUAAGUGGCCUGAGCAACAUUAGAAGUUGAUAAUGAUGAUUCCAAAGGCCUUUAAGAAGGUGUAAUGCUACAUGGAUGUUUUUAUUGAAACCUUCCCUGGGUUUUCAGAAUUCUCUUUGGAAUUAGUCCUGUGGGAAUAUGCCUUUUGGGAUCUAUUCUCACUUCUUAUUCAGUCCCCCUUUUCUUGUGUUAAAAUCUAUAAUUUGAAGUUAUUCUGUCAUUUAAAAAUUAGGUCCAUGACCUCAUCAUCACCGGGUUUUCCUCUCCAGGCCACUUCCAGUAGAAUGUUGGUCAUAUUCCCAUAUGAGAGAACAAAUCAGUUAUUCAUUACAUCUGAUCAACGAGCUAGUACUACACCAUAAGGAAGUGUAGUAAAACCAGAAACUGGGAAACACCAGAAAAAAUUUGCUUUGUCCUCUGUUUUAAUUUGGGGUAUGUUAAAGUGCCACAGGACAUUAAUCCAGGGACUGAGAUAGACUCUUAAGUUUGGCAAUCAGUGAAAGAACUUGCUGAAUCUCUCUAGAAUUCACCUAAAGGAGCCAGCCUCUCUUCUCAUGAGAACAAUUUAUUUUAGGGUUAGUGGUGAAGUAAUUCUACAGUGUUUAAUUCCACAUAUAAACUUCAUUUUCUAUAUAAAUGUUUUGUUGUAACAUAUUCAAUUACUUUCUUUUGUUGUUUUUCUGCAACAUUCCCUUUUUCACAUUUUCUAACCUCUUAAACCAAAUAAAAAACUCACUUAUCUUCU